UGGAGAGCGAAGUUCUAGCUUUGAUUCUGUCCUGAAGGAGUACUAGAUGGACCCGGGCGAUCUACGCAAAAUUAGAACGACACAAAAGAAAAUAAUUCUAUCAGACAAUAUUUCUUUACCACUCUAAGAAUUUUAUUUUAUAUUCUACAUUUUUUUCUACGUAAAUAAAUCUCGAUAUUUAAUUAACUAACAUUACUAACAUUAACUUAAUUAAACUAAUUAACUACAAAUAAUACAAUUAAGUUCAUUAACUUAUAUUACUAAAAUUAAAUUAAUCAACUAAAAUUAUUAAAAUUAAACUAACUAAAAUGACUAAAUUUAAUUAACUAUCAUUAAUAAAAUUAAAUUAAUUAACUAAAAUGUAUUUAAAUUAAUUUAUACCCCAAUAUAAUUUUUUUGUCGAAUUUCUGCUAGAUCAAAUUUCCACGCGUGUCGGAUCGGAGAGCAAUAGCUGUUGGUGGUCGGAGGCACGCUGGAGCGGCGGCAGGGGCGUGAUCCGGUGGUCAGAGGCUUGCUGGAGCUGCUGCAGGCCGGCGAUGGCGCGACAAGAUGGAGGAGGCGCUGCUGUGAUGGAGAUCCACUCGAGCUGGUGCUGCGUGCGGCUGCGACUGGCGUGGCGCUGGAGCUGCGUGCGGCUGCGACCGGCGUGGCGCCGGUGUCGGGGGGUCA
rnacentral:lncRNA from 1 species